rnacentral:rRNA from 1 species
AUGUGGCCGCAGAUGCUGAUCAUCUCCCGCGGGGGCACACGGAAGCUGCUGAACCUGGAGGAGGUGGCUGCGGCGGCAACGGAGCUCGGGUUCAACGUGACGGUGGCGGAGGCGGGGGCGGACGUGGCAGCGUUCGCGGCGCUGGUGAACGCGGCAGACGUGCUGCUGGCGGUGCACGGGGCCGGGCUGACGAACCAGAUCUUCCUGCCGACGCAGGCAGUGGUGCUGCAGAUCGUGCCGUGGGGGGACAUGGACUGGAUGGCCACCAACUUCUACGGGCAGCCGGCGCGGGACAUGCAGCUCCGGUACGUGGAGUACUAUGUUGACGAGGAGGAGACGAGCCUCAAUGACAAGUACCCGAGGGAGCACCUGGUGUUCAGCGACCCCAAGGCGCUGCACAAGCAGGGGUGGCAGGCGCUCGCCAAGACCAUCAUGAAGCAGGACGUGAAGGUGAACCUCACCAGCUCCCCUUCCUGCUUCAGGCCAUCGACAAGCUGCAGGAGUAGCGGCGGCGGCGCCAUCGUCUCCGUUGUCAUCCCCGGCUCAUACGAAAGUGACGAUCUUUCAAGCCAACAACCAGGGGCAUGA